rnacentral:lncRNA from 1 species
AAAUAUCGGAAUAGGAUUUUCUAGGUUAAAAAAAUGUAAUAAAAACUAAACUAAAAACUAAUGAAAGCAAAAAAAAAAACUAAAUUGAAAGUAUCAAUGAUUUUGUGAUGGCUCCCCUUGGCUACUCCUUUAAUGUGGUUAUAAUGUGACUUAUAAAGGCUAAACUAAGAUGAAUAUGUAAACCUAAAAUACCUUUGUAGUAAUUAC